UGAGUUUGAUCCUGGCUCAGAACGAACGCUGGCGGGGUGCCUAAUACAUGCAAGUCGAACGAGAAAGUGGCUUCGGCCAUGAGUAAAGUGGCAGACGGGUGAGUAAUACUUAGGUAAUCUUCCUCCAAGAUGGGGAUAACCUUCCGAAAGGAGGGCUAAUACCGAAUGAGACCACAGGUACUGCGGUACCAGAGGUUAAAGGUGGCCUCUACUUGUAAGCUACCACUUGGAGAUGAGCUUAAGCACCAUCAGCUAGUUGGUAGGGUAACGGCCUACCAAGGCUUUGACGGUUAGCUGAUCUGAGAGGUUGAUCAGCCACACUGGAACUGGGACACGGUCCAGACUCCUACGGGAGGCAGCAGUAGGGAAUAUUGCGCAAUGGAGGAAACUCUGACGCAGCGACGCCGCGUGGGUGAUGAAGGCUUUCGGGUCGUAAAGCCCUGUCGGUAGGGAAGAAAAAUGACGUANCUAACAUCUACGUCGCUUGACGGUACCUACAAAGGAAGCACCGGCUAACUACGUGCCAGCAGCCGCGGUAAUACGUAGGGUGCUAGCGUUGUUCGGAAUCAUUGGGCGUAAAGCGCGUGUAGGCGGCUAUUCAAGUCGGGUGUGAAAUCCCUGGGCUCAACCGAGGAAAGUGCAUCCGAAACUAGAUAGCUGGAAGAUGGUAGAGGAAGGUGGAAUUCCUAGUGUAGAGGUGAAAUUCGUAGAUAUUAGGAGGAAUACCGGUGGCGAAAGCGGCCUUCUGGACCAUUCUUGACGCUAACGCAUUAAGUACCCCGCCUGGGAAGUACGGCCGCAAGGUUAAAACUCAAAGGAAUUGACGGGGGCCCGCACAAGCGGUGGAGCAUGUGGUUUAAUUNGAUGCAACGCGAAAAACCUUACCUGGAUUUGACAUCCCCAGACAACCCUAGAGAUAGGGCUUUCCCUUCGGGGACUGGGAGACAGGUGCUGCAUGGCUGUCGUCAGCUCGUAUCGUGAGAUGUCGGGUUAAGUCCCUUAACGAGCGCAACCCUUAUCCCUAGUUGCCAUCAUUUAGUUGGGCACUCUAUGGAGACUGCCGGUGUUAAACCGGAGGAAGGCGGGGAUGACGUCAAGCCCUCAUGGCCUUUAUAUCCAGGGCUACACACGUGCUACAAUGGCCGGUACAGAGGGUUGCCAACCCGCGAGGGGGAGCUAAUCUCAGAAAGCCGGUCUCAGUUCGGAUUGAAGUCUGCAAUUCGACUUCAUGAAGCUGGAAUCGCUAGUAAUCGCAGAUCAGCACGCUGCGGUGAAUACGUUCCCGGGCCUUGUACACACCGCCCGUCACACCACGAAAGUCAACUGCACCAGAAGUCGCUGUCCUAACCGUAAGGAGGGAGGCGCCCAAGGUGCGGUCGAGGAUUGGGGUGAAGUCGUAACAAGGUAACC
rnacentral:rRNA from 1 species